rnacentral:lncRNA from 1 species
UGAUAAAUCUAACUUCUUGCAUCAGCUGUUUGUUUGAUGCUUGCAUUGAAUUUACUGUUGAGAAGUGCCAGUGUAGGGACUGCAUGGAUGGCAUCUGUAAAGGCUUUAUGCACUUUUUUUGGUUUCUGUUCAGGUUUCAUCACUCUAAGAGCUGAUUCUGAAGAUGACAGCUUCCAAGAUGUCUGAAAAAGAGAACAUCAAACUCUGCUCUUGGGCUCAUUGGGAGAGAAUUCUGAGCUCUGCAGAGAAGUCAGUUCCAUUUUCAAGUCCCUCUGAGACAGGAGAGGAUUUGCAUUUCAGCAGAGAUAACAGCGUGUAAAACGAAAGAAGAAACCAUUCCCACUAGGUGCAGGUAUGGGAUGUACCAUUUUAGGACAGGAAUACUACAGUUGCUCCUGGAUUCCAGCAACCUGACUGUAAGCAAAUAAGCAGACAGGAAAAUGGAAGCGAUGUUGGAAAGUGAUAUGCAACUCCAACAGGCAGGUCAGUUCAUGUAUCCCUGUCUGUUGGCUGUGGGAUCGGUCUAAACCAGUAACCCUUCCUCCACUCCCAAUCUGGAUGUAGUAAGUCAUGUGGGAGGAACUGGUGAUCAGCAUGGGAUACAGCUUUAAAAAGAUGAAACAAUAGACCUUGCAUGAUACCAAAACAUUGCUGGUCAUCUUUCAAUCUUGCUAGCAAAUGUUUCCUUUACAUGGGAUAUGAUUUGUUUAUUCUACAGUUUAUAGACAACCAUGUUGUAGCUCACCUGCUGAGGUCCAGACAGUAGUGGGAGGCUGAUAUUUCUUAGCAAAUAUCUCUACAAUUUUGAGUAAAGGAUGGGUUGCUUUAUAUCACAGUGAUCUACCAGUGCAGUCUUUGCUGUUCUGGGUAGCACCUAUUACUGCCAAGCAUAACUGAUCUUUUCUAUAGGUGAUCAAGCCUGAACCUGAGUUAGCAAACCAGAACCAAAUCCGCUGUUGUGAUGGCAACUAAAUUCUUUAUGGUGGUGAUUUGUUCCUUCACAGAACUGAAGUUUCUUGUGAAAAUAAGCCAGGAUCACCUAUACUUAAUUCAGGAGUGAGGUUCAGUGAUCUCAGCUGAAUCAUCAAGAAACUUUUACAGCUACUGGAGAAAAUUCUGCUUGUCAACUGCGGUAUGUUGAUAUAUCUCAAAUAUUUCAUUUUUGGGGGCAACGAGACUUGCUUUCUU